CAUAUUAUUUAGUUCCAUUUAGAUUUAGGGGUAAAUUUGAGGUUUACUGAAUUUUAAUCUGUAAAUAGACGUAUGGAUCGAAACAAAGAAGAUUAAGAGAAAUUUGUACUCCACACAUGCAUGUUAUAAAUUAGAAAUCAUAUUAUACGCAAAAAGUUCUCAGAAGUGACUAAGUCAGAAUUUUCAUAAAGAGAGUUCAAGAUAUAAAGAAUUAAACACAUGAAAGAGAUUCAACAUCAACUAUAUAAAUAUAAAAAUGAAUUUUAACCUUAAGUAUAGAGUGUAUUUUUUGUUUCAAGGGGUUAGGAUGAAAAAUAUGAAAAUUCGUAAGGCGAAUUUAACCAUAUAUUUGGAGAAUAACCUGAGCAGAUCAUCAAGCUUACAAUUGUUAUAAGUGAAGCGAUCAACAAGCCUUGGAUCAUCUGAACAUUCUUUCAUAAUCAAUUAUCAUGUUUCUGGCUAAUUGAUGUUCACGAAACAUCAAUAGGAAAUGAGGACAACAACAAAAGAAGAAGAAAAAGAAAGUUUAAUUAGAGAAAUGAAAGAAAGUUUUCAUUAAGCGGCUUAUUGAACUAAACAAAUCUGCGAUUUCAUAUUUGUUACUUGGAUCUUUGGUUGAGCUCACACAUGAUUUGUUUUUUCCGUUAUUUGGACUCUUACUGUCGACAACUAUUAAAAUAUCUUUUACUCAUCACAUAAGCUGCAAAGUGUAUUAAGAUUCUAGACACUCAUGUAGUUUGGCUUCGGUGUUAACUUUGUUAGUUGUAACUUUUCAAAACUACUUAUUUAGAGUUGUCCAGAGAAAUUGAUUGAGAGAAUUCAUUCGACAUUUAAAAAGGUAGUCCAUCAAGAAAUCAGUAGCUUCAAUUAUCAUGCAUAUUCAAGGUUUGUUACUAAAUCAUUAUGACAUGAUUACCAAACUAUACUCCUAAUUAUAAGUUCUUACACAUAGAGGUAUAUGGUUACCAAUCUGUACUCCUAAUUAGGUGUGGACGUUCGGUCGGUUCGGUCUGAUUGUUUAAUAUCGGUUUGAUUUAUUGGUUUUCGGAUUGACAAAAAUGACAUCCAUAACCAAACCGAAAUAAAUUCGGUUUGGUUCGGUUUUUACAAAUUCGAUUCGGUUAUUUCGAAUUUUUAUUUCGGUUUGAAAUAUUAAAGUAGUUAGCCUGUCUUUUUCAUAACUGAGCAUUUAAAUUGAUGAAUGUUUUUAGAAAAAUUAUUUUUUUCAAACCUGUUUUUCAUUUUCAAAUAUAAAUAAAUAUAAAUAACUCAACAUAGAUGAAACGAAAUGAAAUAAUCAUAAGCUUAACAUAAUACAUAACGUUAUUAAUUAUUACAUAUAAUAUAACCUUGCAUAAAUAGUCUAAAAAACAACACAAAACUCGUAAAAAUAGUCCAUGAAACAACAGACUUUCUGCAUAAAUAGUCCAUAAAAUAGUCCAAAGUCACCAAAAUAGUUCAUAAAAUAUUUGAGUCAUUAAAACAAUCCAUAAAUAGUCUGCGGCGUAUGCGAAUUUGUUGUUGAAUGUUACUUGUGAAUGUGAAUUACUAAAUAUUAUAUAUAUAUAUUUUAUAAAAUUUUGGUUUUUCGGUUUAAACCGAAUUUUAUUUUUUAAAACCGAAAACCAAAUCAAAAAAUCGAAAUUCUAAAAUUACAGACCGAAUUCGAUCCGAAAAAUUGAAAAACCGAAAUCAAAAUUAAAUUUUGGUUUGAUUUUUUGGUUUUUUCGGUUUAAACCAAAAUAUGCCCACCCCUACUCCUAAUUACUCAUGUUUCAUCUACAGUCUUUUAGAAACUCUAACGGACUUUAGAGUUUGAAGAUAGAUAUUGGACUCGUGUAGCUAGAAUCAUGUUUUAAAUUUGUAAAAUUUUGAUCUUUACACAUGUGUCAAUGCAUUUUUUUUAAAUGAUAGAAUAUGGCCAAACAAUGUGUUUGAACUAUAAUAAAGAAAUUGAAGUGAUAAAUGUUGAUUGUGUUAAAUAAAUUGAAUUUGCUCAAUAAGUUCUUUUUUAGGCUCAAAUACUUAAUUUAAGUCUUGCCAACUUGUUACUAAGAAUCAACUCGUUGCUCCAAAGUAGCUUCUCACAACUAUUACUUGCCAACCUAAAGCUCAUUCCAUCUCCAUCAUAAAGUUUAUUCAGAUUUUGAUUCAACCGUGAAUCUCAUUGAUGUUUCGAGCAUGAAAAACGACAUAAAAAAAAAGUAAUUAGAACAAAUUUUCAAUAGCAACUCUAAUCAAGAUUAUUCAUCUUAAUCUUCUCACAAGCCACCAUAAUCAUACCAUAAAUAAUAUUUAAAAAAAAAUCAAACAAGGUGCAUUCCCCUCAAUAAUAAACAGAAAGAAAAUAAAUGAAAUACAAUAAAUGUCUCAACUAGAGAAAGCAGAAAAGUGGAAAAGAAAAAAAAGCAUAGUAAGAAACAACUCAAUAUCAAUAAUUUCGAGCACAAAGAUUAACAAUUGAAUUUAUUAUGCACCAAAAUUUAGAGAUUGUAUUUAAAUAGAAUUUCUACCAAAAUAAAUUUAUUUUUAGAAGAAAACAAAAGAAGUGAUUCCUUUAAGAUCUUGGAUCUAAAAUUUUUCAUUUUAUAAUCUUCCGUAGACAAAGAUUUUCAAGAAACCUCUACUCAUAUAUGUUUAGGGGUAAAUCUAAUGAACUUUACAUUUAAUAAAAGGAUUGUGUACUUAUAAAAAUUAAAUUACUUAAAUAUUACAUGAAUUAUACAUUAAAAGGAUUGUGCAUCUAAAAGAAAAUUAGAUUACACGUUUUUUCAUAUAUUUAUUAUAAUCAAUAUUUUAUAUUAUAAAAGUAAAAAUAUUAUAAUUAGAUGAAAAAAGUGAAAAGACGAUAAUGUUUAUUGAGAAAGAUUUUAAUGAAGGACACAAAAUUUAAACAAAAUUCUUAAAACUCUUCACACUUUUAAUAUAGUAUGAUAAUAUGAUAUGGUAUCAUUAUGUAUCCAAUUACAUAACUCGAGCAUAAAUUAGUAAUAUAUUUUAAGAUGUGUUGCUUAAAAUUAAGGGAGGUAAAUACGUGAGUUAAACACCUGUUUGGUCCAAAGUCAAUUGGAAAUCAGUAAAGUUUGUAGUUGUCCUAUUAAAUUACAGUAGUAGGUUAAGUAGGUUUGAUCCUUCUCCUUUACUUCCUUCUUAUAUUUCGAUAAAUAACACUUUUUAUCAUACAUUUUCCCAAUUCUAACCUUCCAACUAAAAUUAGUAAAAGAGUCAUGAAUAUGAGCCACGAUCACAAGAAGUCCACACAUUUUUCUACUAACAAAAAAACAAUUUCUUCUUCAGGAUUUUCUCCAGUGAGUUUUUUGAAGGAUUUAGGAACUAAGGUGACCAGUGCACUAAGUUUCUUUUCGAAAUCGAAUUAUAGAAAAAGGUAUAACUCACGUAAAGUAGUAUCUUCGACAAACUUGGCCAGGUCGAGUUCUUAUGCAGAAAGAGUUGAUUCUCAAAGAGCUGAAGCCAUUGAGGAUUGCAUCCACUUCUUGAGGGCCUCUUCACUCCAGAGAUCCAAUUCUGUUUCCUAAGGUUGUGAUUGUGACGAGGUGCCAAGUAGAGGGGCGAAUCUACAAUAUUAUACUACAUGAUUUUGACAGAAUUCAGUAAUUUUAUUUCGACUCUCUAUAUAUAUAUAGUUAUUUGUGUUAAGAAAUUUAUUUAAUACGUAUAGAGAGUUUAUUUCAAAAUUCAGAAUUCAUAAACUUAAAUUUCUAAAUUCGCCUAGAGUCAUCUCUGAUCGGCAGUAGUUUAUCGUCAAAGUGGAACUUCCUGAUGUGUUUUAAAAUUAAUUGGGUCCAAGGAUACUGAACGGGAAAAAAAAUACUCCAACAACUGACAAGUUAUGUAAUUACUAAGAUAUAUAGGCAGUGUUACUUUUGGUAUCUAUUUAGCUAAGUAUAGGAUAAAAACUUCCCUUAGCAUAGAAAAGAAUAUUUCUGAUGCUGUAAAGGACUCACUUUCAUAUAAAUUUUGCGUGUAUUGUACGUAGUUUGUAUAUAUUUAUUUCUUCCAACAAUUUCCUGCUACAUUUUGUAUUAGUUGUUCGCUUUUUCAUUUUCUACUUGAUGGUUAGAUAUCAUCUGUAUGAAUUUUAUUCUUUCUAUUGUGUCCUAACUUACAUUGAUUUGAAGGACUUGGAGGGAUUGUGAAUUAACUUUGUUUCAAGUGAUUUUAAGCGUACCUCGUUUACUUUAUAACACCUCUCAUUGCAGUUUUAACAGUUACGAACCAGAGUAACUUUCUCUCACCUCUCAUUACAGUUUUAACAGUUACGAACCAGAGUAACUUUCUCUUAUUUUAUCCUCAAUGCAUGCUACUUAAACCUUGGUGAUCAUUUUUAAUCUUAUCUAAUCAACUUAUAUGACCUCACAUUCAUCUUAGCUUUUGCACCUUAUUAUAGAUAGUUGGUGAAUCUUAAAAAACUUACUAUUUCUAGACUUGUCUGCAAUCAUUAUCACUAUGGAAUAAUAUGUCUAGUGCUACUCAACACCCUCGACUUAAAAUCCUCCUAUGGAUCUAGAUCCUAUAACUCUGUUUACCCUGCAAAGGAUUCUUUGGUGAAACAGGAAUUCAGGAGCUUUAUGAAGAUAUCGAAUCCCUUCUCGGGGAAAAAGAACUUAAUUUUGUGAUGUUUUUGUGUAAAAGGAGUUUAUGUUCAUUGUUAGAUGCUUGGAUGGAGACUUGGAAGCUGUGCUCUUGAUAAAGAUUUUGCAUGUAGAGCAAGAUCAUCUUUUUCGUUUAUCUUAAUACCGGUGGUGUUUGAACCAGUUUGGGCAGGUUUUGAUUAUUCUAUCAAGUAUGUAGCUUUGUUCACCAAGAUUUAGACCUACAUUACAAAAUUGCAUUUUUUAAAAUUUAUUAAUGAGAUUUAAACUGACCUUUCAUAGUUUCCACCCACUUUAUUGACCCCCUAGAUGCUGCCCGGAGUCACAAAUUAAUUAUUGUUAGCGUAUUUUAAUAUUUUAAUUAUAUUAAAGUGCAUUAUAUCAAAUAACAAAGUGUGUUGUUGAUGGUUGCACUUCUCCAAUGCACAUUAGUGGAAUAUUAUUAAGAAUAAAAAUGUGCAUUUACUUUGUGUAACUCCUAUAACUAUUAAUAUUUUAUUUCACUCAUUAUUUUAUGGUAGAAUAUGACCUUUAGUUCUUGUUGUAGGAAAAGUAAUUAUUUAUUUCAAAUAAUUUAUAAUAGUAGUGUAGUUAUUUUAUUUGAAAAGAAGGAAUAUUAAAGUUCUUGCAUAAUUCUUUUUUCCACAUGGCAUAACACUUGUGUUAAACUUGGAAGAUAUGGUUUUUCUCCUUUUGGUUAAUAGACAAGUGUAUAAACACUUGUCAUAUUAUGAUAAAAUAGUAACUUUUAUCCUUUGCCUAUACAUAGGCAACUUCCUUUGCAACAUUGCAGUAACAAUUUUUCAAUUCUCCUUUUAAGUUUUCUUACUCCCUUUCCCAUCUCUUCACUUCUUUUUAUUAUUAUAUAAUUUAAUGAAAAAAAGGUUCUACUAAUUAUAUCAUCAUUUAUAUUAAUUUGUUGGUAUUCGUAUUAAUAACUUUGUUGAUUCUUGUAUUCUUUGGUUAAUUAAAGAAGAUUUAUUUAUCUCAAAAUAUCCUCAAAUUAAUCAAGGAAAAAUAUUUUAUAUUGCUGAAAUAGUUUCUUAGGACAGUGUUUAGCACGACUUAAGUAUAAUUAAUAAAUUACUUAAAAUAAUAUUGUUUAGCACGACUCAAGUAUAAUUAAUAAAUUACUUAAAAUAAUAUCGUUAUAAUAUUUAUUUAAUAUUUUGUAUUAUUAAUUUGUUAGCAGUCAUUAUACUAUUAUACUAUUAUUAUUACUAUUAUUAUUAUUAUACUGUUAUUAUUAUUAUUACUAUUAUUAUUGUUGUUGUUGUUGUUGUGUUAACAGUUUAAAUAUUAUUGUUAUUUACCAUACACUGUUGUACUGUUAAUUUUAUUAUUGUUAUUAUUAUUAUACCACUGUUCCUCAACAAUCUAAGAAACUAUGGCAUAUAAUAUUGAUUUUAAGACCGUUCAUAAUAAUGAUGUUGGUAUUGCUCAGGCUGCUUUCAUUUCAGUCAGUUUGUCAGAAAAUUAUGAUACUGCAAAUUACAGAUAUGAAAAUAAAUUUGAUUAUAUGCCUAAUGCUAAUAAUAAAUUUUUCAUAGAAGAUGUAUCUCAAUGCAAGAGAAUAUGUGAAAGAAAUGACAAUCCCGUUAAAUCAAAAUUAAAUUUAACAGAAAUGGAUGAUAUAAUUAUUGUGGUCAAUUCAGAAAUAAUUAUUGAGACCACUGUGAGAAAUUGGGUAGUAGGCUUUGGUGCUACUAGGCACAUUUGUAUAAAUAAAAAUAAUUUUUUAUCAUACACCCAAAUUGAGAAAGAAAAAUAAAUUGUUUAUCUUGGGACCUCGAGAAUUAUUCAAAUUCUUGAAAAAGGCAAAGUUCUUCUCAAACUCACAUCUGGUAAAACCUUGACAUUGAGUAAUGUGUUGUAUGUUCCUAAUAUCAGAAUUAAUUUAAUUUCUGUGGCACUAUUAGAAAAGGUUGGAAUAAAAGUUAUUUUUGAAAACAAUAAGAUCAUACUAACUAAAAGUAAUAUUCUUAUUGGAAAUAGACGUUGUAAUCAUAGAUUAUAUAUGCUUGAUACUCAUUGUGAUAUUUCUAAAAAUGUAUCUACUUCUAUGUAUUUGACUGAGUCUAUUUCCUUAUGUCAUGCUAGAUUAGGACAUAUUAAUUUCUCUUACAUAAAGAGUAUGCAAUCACUUGGUUUGAUAUCUGAUUUAAACUCAAAUAAUUAUGAGAAAUGUGAAAUAUGUGCUGAAGCUAAAAUUACUAAAAUGACAUGUUUUUCAGUUAAUAGAGAAACUGAACUGUUAUCUUUAAUUCAUAUUGAUUUGGGUGAUUUAAAACAAACUAUGACUAGAGGCGGUAAAAGAUAUUAUGUGACUUUUAUUGAUGAUUUUUUCAGAUUUGCUAAGUUGUAUUUGCUUAGAAAUAAAGAUGAUGCAUUUAAUGCUUUUGUGUCUUAUAAAUUAGAAUUUGAAAACCAGCUUAGUAGAAAAAUCAAGAGAAUUAGAUCUGAUAGAGGUGGAGAAUAUAUGUCAUUAAAUGUGUUUCGUAAAAAAAAAGAUAUUAUUCAUGAAGUAACUCCGCCUUAUUCUCUUGAGUCUAAUAGUGUAGUUGAAAGGAAAAAUAGGACAUUAAAAGAAAUGAUGAAUUCUAUGUUAAUUAGCUCUAAUGCACCUGACAAUUUGUGGGGUGAAGCUAUUUUAUCUGCAUGUCAUUUACAAAAUAGAAUUUCCCAUAAAAGAACUGGAAAAAUCCCUUCUGAAUUAUGGAAAGGUUAUAAACCUAAUUUGAAAUAUUUAAAAGUGUGGGAUUGUCUUGCUAAAGUUCUUCCUGAACCUAAAAAGAGGAAAAUAGGUUCUAAAUCUGCAGAUUGCAUGCUUAUUGGAUAUGUUGAACAUAGUGCUGCAUAUAUAUUUUUUGUAUUAAAAAGUGAUGUACUUGAUAGUAAUUCUAUAAUUGACAUAAAAAUGCUGAAUUCUUUGAACAUAUUUUUUCAUUAUGUGAUAAAAUCUCUCAUGCAUCCGUUGAAAGAGAAAAUGAAUCAACCUCUAAUAUUGAGGAACUAGGAAGGAGUAAAAGGCCUAGAAAAGAAUAUUUUUCUUAUGGAAAUUAUUUUCAAACUUUUCUUGUUGAUAAUGAACCAUCAACUUAUUUUGAAGUUGUAUCUUCUGAUGCUAAGUUUUGGAAAGAGGCAAUAAAAAAUGAGCUUGAUUCAAUUAUAAAAAUAAUACAUGGAUUUUAACUGACUUACCUCCUAGUGUAAAACUGAUUGGUUGUAAAUGAAUUUUCAAAAAGAAACUUAAUCCGGAUGGAUUGAUUGAUAAAUAUAAAGCCCGGUUAGUAGUUAAAGAAAUUUUUCAAAAAUAAAAUAUUGAUUAUUUUGAUACAUUUGCACCAGUAACAAGAAUUGCUUCUAUUUGAGUAUUAAUUGCUUUGGCAUCAAUUCAUAAAUUUUUUAUCCAUCAAAUGGAUGUAAAAACAGUUUUCUUGAAUGGCGAUUUAGAAGAAGAAAUUUAUAUAGUUCAACCUGAAGGAUGUGUGAUUUCUGGACAAGAAAAUAAAGUUUGUAAAUUAAUUAAAUCUCUUUUAUGGCCUUAAACAAGCUCCUAAACAAUGGCAUGAGAAAUUUGAUCAAGUCUUAAUAAAAGACGAUUUUUCUUCUGUUGAGGUUGAUAAAUGUGUUUAUGCAAAAGUAGUAGACAAUGAUUAUGUAAUAAUUUGUUUGUAUGUUGAUGACAUACUUAUAAUUGGUACAUGUAUAAAUAUUGUGGAACGUACUAAAUUAUUUUUGUUUACUAACUUUGAUAUGAAAGAUCUGGGUGAAGUGAAUAUGAUAUUGAGAAUUAAAAUUAUAAGGAGUAAAGAUGAAUAAUGUUGUCACAAGAACAUUAUGUGGAAAGACUUCUUAAGAAAUUUGAAUGUUAGAAGGUAACUCCAGCAACCAAUCCUUAUGACGCUAAUUCAAAAUUAAAAAGGAAUAAUGGUAACCCAGUACCUCAGUCUAAAUAUGCAUAAAUUAUUAGGAGUCUGAUGUAUUUAAUGAAUUUUAUUAGGCCAGAUAUAGCAUAUGAUGUGUGUAGACUGAGUAGAUAUACUCAUAAUCCCAAUAAAGAGCAUUGGUCUGCAUUAAUGAGAUUAAUGAAAUAUUUGAAAGGAAGCAUGAAUUAUGGCAUUUUAUAUAGUAGAUUUCCUUCUAAAAUAGAAGGAUAUUGUGAUGCAAAUUAGAUCUCUAAUUCAGAUGAGAUGAAAUUCACUAGUGGUUAUAUGUUCAUUUUAGGUGGUGGUACAGUAUCGUGGAGAUCAUCUAAGCAGACGAUAAUUGCUAGAUCAACCAUGGAAUCAGAGUUUGUAACUCUGGAGUUAGCAGGUACUGAGGCUGGAUGGCUAAGAAAUUUCUUAGCGAAUAUCCCUUCUAAGAAGGAUGAUCUGUCACCUAAUAUCCCUUCUAAAACGGAUGAUUUUGUGCCUCCUGUGUAUAUACAUUAUAAUUGUCAAGCCGCAAUUGCUAUUGCGAAGAAUAAAUCUUACAGUUGUAAGAGUAGACAUAUGAAAUUGAAGCAUGAUGUUAUUAAGCAAUUGCUGAGAGGUGAAAUUUUUUUAUUAAUUAUGUAAAAUCAGAAUUGAAUUCGUCCGAUUCACUGACUAAAUCCGUGGGAAGAAAAUUAAUUCUGCAAACAUCAAAAGAGAUGAGGUUAACGUCAAUAUAAUUGUCAAUAAAGAUGGUAACUCAACCUAUUUGAUUGGAGAUCCCAUGAAGUAGGUUCAUAUGGGUAAUAACAAGUCGAUAUUGACUCUGCGCACUUAUUGAGAGUGCUUGAACUGCUAAUAAAAUUGAGGGAUGAGUUAUUAACUCUUAAUGAAUUCAUAGUCCUUAUGGAAGGUGUAUUUAAAGCAGUGUACACUUGAUGAAUUCACCUAUAUGAGAAGUGGAAUGAGGCCGUUCUCAUGAGACUUUUGGUCUUAGUCUCUAGAUCUCUCAUGAAUACCAGACACGCGCAUGAUCUAUUGGCGCAAAACCGCGUUGAACAACAAAAUUACGGUCAAAAUGUGAUUAAUAAAAUCUCUGGCAUACAACAAAAAUUAUUCGGUUCAUAAAAAUAUUAUAUUUCACCGAUAAUUCUGUAAGUUAAAUUUUAUUGGUUUAAAUUUAAUUCGUAGUCCAAAAGAUACCAAACUUACUGCAUUUUAUCCAUACAAAUCCAAUAAAUUAAAAGGUUUUUUCCUAUAAAUUAUUUUAAAAUAAUAUGGGGAUUGUAGGAAAAGUAAUUAUUUAUUUCAAAUAAUUUAUAAUAGUAGUGUAGUUAUUUUACUUGGAAAGAAGGAAUAUUAAAGUUCUUGCAUGAUUUUUUUUUGCCACAUGGCAUAACACUUGUCUUAAACUUGAAGAUGUGGUUUUUCUCCUUUUGGUUAAUAGACAAAAGUACAAACAAUUGUCAUAUAUGAUAAAAUAGUAACUUUAUCCUUUGCCUAUAAAUUGGCAACUUCCUUCGCAAUAUUGCAGUAAUAAUUUUUCUAUUCUCCUUUAAGUUUUCUUACUUCAUUUCCCAUCUCUUCACUUCCUUUUAUUAUUAUAUAUUUUAAUUAAAAAAGGAUUCUAUUAAUUAUAUCACCAUCUAUAUUAACUUAUUGGUAUUUGUAUUAAUAACUUUGUUGAAUGUUGUAUUCUCUGGUUAAUUAGGAAAGAUUUAUUUAUCUCAAAAUAUCCUCUAAUUAAUCAGGAAAGUACUUGUUUAAUCCUGGAGAAACAUUUUACACUAUUGAAAUAGUUUCUUAGGACAGUGCCUAGAACGACUCAAGUAUAAUUAAUAAAUUACUUAAAAUAAUAUCGUUAUAAUAUUUAUUUAAUAUUUUAUAUUAUUAAUUUUUCAGCAGUCAUUAUACUAUUAUUAUUAUUAUUAUUAUUAUUAUUAUUAUUAUUAUUAUUAUUAUUAUUAUUAUUAUACUGUUAUUAUUAUUAUUACUAUUACUAUUAUUAUUGUUGUUGUUAUUGUUGUUGUUGUGUUAACAGUUUAAAUAUUAUUGUUAUUAUUAUUUUAAUAUUGUUACUUAUCAUACACUGUUGUACUGCUAAUUUUAUUAUUGUUAUUAUUAUUAUACCACUGUUCCCCAACACUUGUAACUCUCAAGGUCAUUAGUUCUUGUAACUUCAUGUCCAUUACUUUCAUGUAACUUAUGUAACAUAACACUAUUCAUCUACCCCUCACUUAUCUUGCAUAUUAUUACAUGCACAAGGAAAUAUGAUAAGUAUGAAAAAGAUUAUAGUGUGUAGUAAUGAAAGAGAGAGUUGAGAUAAAGAAAAUCUUCUAAAUCUAACUAUAUUCACAAUACAAAAGAGGGUUAUUAUAUUAGUUAAAGAAAGAGUUGAGACAAAGAAAAUAUUUGAAGUCUUUAACUAUAUUCACUAUAUAAAGAGAGUAAAUAUAUGUUGAAGGAAGGUGUUCUUAUGGUGGAGCUUUGAACUUUUCAACUAGUCCGGAGUUGCUUGAGUUGUACAUCCUUGAUGGGUUGUUAUAUCCUGGAGCGGACAAGUCAAAAGAUAUACUGCUGAAUCGGUGUAAAUUAUACCGCAGCGGGCUUGAAUCUCCUUAAAGAGAGCGAGAUAUUUGCGCCUCAGCCAAGAAGAAGAUUAUUUUAUUUUCUUCACUUUUGUUCAUUUUAUUUUCAACUGUAAUCAUUUAUUGUAGUUGUGGUAUAUUACGCCAACAAUUAUCGGCUCUUACUACUAGGAUAUACCAUAUGAUUGGCAUUACUUGAUAGUUGAUAUGGCAAAAAUUGAAGCUUUCUCCAAACAAAGGCCUAUUUUCUGAUGGAUCACCAAGAGCAACCAUGUUUUAGAUAUAAGCAACAAAUUAAAGACCUUCAAAUAUCUAGCAAACCUAGUCUAUGGUACCUGCUAGCAAUUAAUAGUCCCUCCGUUUGAAAAAGAAUGACCUACUUUCCUUUUUUAGUCUGUUUAAAAAAAAAUAAUUCUUUUUUUUUUUGGCAAUACUUUAAUUUCAACUUUCCACAUGACAUGUUUAGUAUCACAAGAUUAAAGGGUAUUUUGGCAUAUUUGACAUUACUUGCCACAAGAUUUAAAAGUCUUUUUUAUUUUCUUAAACUUUGUAUCAAGUCAAAGUAGGUCAUUUUUUUUUAAACGGAGGGUCAAAGCAGAACUACUACAUAUCGGAAUACUUUGUACAUUUUUAUUUCCCUUAACUAUCAUAAUGAUUGUCGACUUCAACUUGCUCGGAAUCAAGGCAUAGUUGUUGCUAUCACUAUAAACUAGUCAGAUUGGUCUCAUCUUUUCAUACAGAAAAAGUUUAAGGUACAGAGUAAAACAUAGAGAUGCAACCUCAAGUUGACGUAAAGAUAUAGUAAUAGACAACACUGACUGGCUUGGCAGUUACAUGGUGAAACAUUUACUGUAAAUAAAAUCGACCCUAGAUUCAUAAAUGCAAAAAUAUGAUUCUUCUGUAGUAUUGAAACAAGAUUUUUGACCAUCAGCUUACUCCUCUGCAACUAUUUUUAACUUGUUAAACCUAUUAUUACGCCAUACAUAUAUACAACAACAAAAUUUACCUGACGAGUUGUGCAAUUAGGUAUGCCAAUAUGUUCUAUGUACUAAUUAUGAUCCUCGAUGUGGAUAAUUUCGUUUAAUUAAGGACUUGUGUUAUCUAAGCUACGGAUUUAUUCCUUAUAGUGGUCAGACUUGGUAAAGGGAAUUAACUAAAGCAAAAGGAAGAGAUGAAAGAAAUGCACAUUAUCAAACUUUCUAUUAGAAACCGCAAAUAGAAUGUAUACAUACAAACAACAUAUAAUAAUUAUUUAGAUUUGCUUGAGCAAAACUUUUGGUGUUUCAUUCAAGAAAUGAAUACAAUCAAUUUGCUGAAGAAAAAACUACUCAAAUAAAUGGUUGAAUUAAGACAGAUACCGAUCAAACUAAAGGUAUAAAGCACAACAUACUUUUUGUUUUCGGUGAUACUUCCUAAUAGACUCUCUUUUCUUCGUUUUCAGCCUCUGCCAUGCAAAAUUUUAGCAUUUUGGAAGAUCCUUUGGAGGAGGCAAAAGUGACUCAUUUGGUCCCUUGCCAUUAUCGACAAGGAAUGCCAUCUUCAAUCCCCAUGUUGUGUGAAUCUCUAAAUGGCAAUGCAUAAACCAAACUCCUGCAAUUUCAUAACAAUUAACAAUCACUAGUAAAUACCUCGUGAAUUUAAGUAAUAUACACUGAUAGUGCCAAAUAAAUUAUACUAUUGGUGCAAUUUAACUAAAUGUAGCGCGAUGUAACUCAAUUUUUGCUGUAAUACCUGGAUUGUCAGCACGGAAUCUUAUGGCUACCCAUCCUCCUGAAGGUACUCCAAUUGUAUUCCUCUCAACAGGAUCGACAAGAUUAAAAUUGUUCGGAUCUGUUUUCGGAUUAAAAUUUCCAACUCCUUUACCUACGGCAAAGAAAUUGAACCCGUGCAAAUGGAUAGGAUGGUUUUCAGGGGAUAUAAUUCCAGUAUCCUGUAAAACUAAUUGAACUGUCGCAUUAUAAGGCAAUCGAUAAACCUUCGUCCCACUAAUUGUAGCCAAAUUUGUUGGUAGUGUUCCAGUAUAGUUGAACUUAAAUGGUGGAUUUGGAGGAAAAUCUGUCGUAUAAACUCCUUUGAUGCCAAAGAAAUGUGCUUGUAAAAGGGCUACUGUUGGCAUGGUAAACGUAACAUUGUUUAUACUUGCAACAACUCUGCUUCCAUUCCCCUGUUUGCAAGUAGGACAGGGGUUAACUCCCAACCCGACCGUGAAAAACAACGAAUGAUCAACAUUUUUUGGUACUUUAGCAGGGUAUUUUUUUGAAUUGAGGCUUCGAAGAGAGUCAACAAAAUUGUUAGCCACAGGGGUGGCAUUUUUGGGCGGAGUGCUAGUCAAUGUAGUAAUUGAACUAGCCAAAGUGCCCGAAUAAUGUAACGUGGCUGUUGCAGUCACGUUAUCUACUGCAAUUGGUGCGUCCAUGAAGGGAGAUGCAGCAACCAUGUAUUUUCCUGAACCUUGAUCAGCUGUGACAAUUACAUUUGUAGUUUGGCCUGGUGCAAUUAUAAUUGUGUCUGUUUUAAAGGGCUUUACAUAGGUAGCGUCUACUUCGACUACGGUCAUCUUGUGACCAGCAAUCUUGAAGAAGAGUUCUUCAUUGAGUGCAGCAUUGAUUACUCGCAACAUAUAGGAUUUUCCAGGAUCAACACUCAAUGUGUAUCCACCUGCAUAUCAUAUAGUAGUUCAAAAAUCAAAAUUUCUUUCACGUGAAUUAUUGAUGGAUUUAACUUAUAUUCACUUAUAGCGUAAAGAUAUGUUAUACUAUCAAUGUAUUUUUUACCUGUUACAAUAGUUUUUUACGCCAUCUUACGUGUUAACUUUUACAUGCUGAAGGUAUAAAAUGAUUUUUACGCUAUCGAGGCACCUAAAAAUAAACUAUGAGCAACCAUCCAUAACAAGUGAGAUUAGUUCAAGGAAAUAAGGUAAGAGUUAACCUGCUACAAGAAGUUAAAAUACCUUGACAAUGUAUAUGAGUUAUAUUCUAUCCAAGUUAUGAUUUAACAUUUGUAAUGAAUGGUUACAUAUUAUUGUAGGUGAUUUAACUUGAUAGUAUGACAUAAUUAUAUACUUUCAAUGAAUAGAAGUAAAACUCACGAUUUUUUUAAUAUAAACUAGUUAGAGGUAUAUAUAUUUACCUUGGGAUGGACAAUUUGAAAUGGUUCCAGGAUGGCCAUUGAUUGUAUGAGCAUCAGAAACAUUAGGGGCUAAACCUAACUUAAUGGCUUGAUUAAUCACCGCUUCAGUAUCGGAUUUCCACCAUUCAGCUGCGUUAGGUCAUCACAGCUAAUUAAUCUUGUGAUCUCAUUUUCGCAGCAAAUUGAAUUUUUUUUCUCUAAGCAAAAAAUAAAAAGUAUUGUAUAGUAAUUAAAUUAUGUUCACCUAGAAUAAUUACAGCUUCAUGAUCAGGUUUUGGAAAUGGAUAUGGCACACGAAGCUUAGGCAAGAUGACAAGGGCACCAUGCAUAGUGGCUCUCAGCCAUAGAAUAUGAGCAUGCCAAAAGAGUGUACCCCUUUGACCUGUGAUGGUGAAGUUGUACACAUAAUUUUGACCUGGCUGAAUUGGGCAUUGUGUGAUAUAUGCUGGUCCAUCUGACCAACCUGAUCUAAGUUGUCUUAUUCCAUGCCUGACAUACACCACAUGAAAACAUUGUGUUAAGCAAAGAACUAAAUUAAGUGAAUUAUACAAAGUGACGACGACAAUGGAAACUAAUCUUUGCACUUUCAAGGGAUUAAUCUAAAUGACAUGCAUAUAUUUAUCAGAAAUAUUAAUACAACCAAGCCACUUUUAAACCAGAGGCAUUGCUAAGUAGGAGUAGGGGUUCAAUUGAAUCCCUUUCAUCAAAAACUAUACCGUGCAGAUAGAGAAAAAAUAUGAGUUCUUGGAUUAUACAUAAAAUUAUUGAAAUAAUCCUUUAACAUACAGAAAAAUUCUAGUGCAGUAGUAAACGGGGUUCAAAAAUACUUAAGCUCACAUGCUCAAAUCUUAGGUGUGACAUUAUUGUCACGGGUAUAUAUGUACAAUAAAUUAUAAACAUUACUUGGUUAUAACAAAUUAACAUGCUAUAGUUGGUUGAACUGUACAUAUAGAUCAUGUGAGAAUCUUUGUAUAUACUUAUAACGUACCAGUGGAUAGAGACAUUAUAUUUGGCAUGGUUAACAACAUUGACGAGCACAGUGUCACCUUCCCUAGCAUAGAUAGUAGGUCCUGGAAAUUUGCCAUUAACAGUGGCAAUGGGCUUGCUAGAACACAGCCUAGUCGUAGUCUUCAUCAUCACCUGCCAAAUUAAACAAACCAUCUUAUGUUAGUUACUUGGAAGUGGAAUAAAAAUCUAAUUCGUCCUUUUUGAUAGGAAUUUCAUCCUACUUAUGAUCUAUAGUUUGACAAUUAUUUACUCCCACCUUCCAUCGGGUUUUUAAAGUAGAGUUUAAGUUUGUUAAUGUAUAUAAAAUUUUAGAUCAAAGAAUAUUUACAAAUAAGCCUUUUUAAAAUGUGAGAUUUGAAAUGUUGAAAAUAAGAUAUACCUCAUGCUAAAACAAGUAAUAAAAAUGAUCUGAUGGUGUAAAUAUUAUUCACCACGAUAUAUAUUAUUUGAACUCUUAAAGUAAUGAUUAAAGUGUUGGCGCCAACUAAAUUAUUUGUUUUUUACACCAACCACCUUGGUUAAUUGGAAUUUACUCUUAACUAAUUUAUGUUACAUUGGUUUUUAAGAAAUCUACUUGUUAUAUUGCCAACAACUUCGAAUUAAUAUAUUUUGUGAAUUGUGAUCGUUAAUAUGUGGAAGGAACAGGUCCUCAAGAAUGGAAAAGAAAUGAGAGUUUUUGGAAAAACAUAUAGCCAUUCGGAACAGAAAUGAUUGCUAGUUAAAGCUCUAAAAAAGGUAGAACCAAUAUCACUAGCUAGCUAGAACAUUGGUGGCAUGUAAAUUCAAAGUGAUUUAAGUUGUUGAAGAUUAUUUUACACUAGCACUUGAUCAACAAUAUUCAUAGAUUCAGCAAGUAAUUAUUCUCAUAAACCGCUCUAUGAGACAACAAUGAGCAACAUCGUUUGAAAACAUUUCAUCGCCAGCCCAGAAAAUCUAUUAUUUUGGAGAAAUAAUCCAUUUUAAACGAUGACAGCUGGUAUUUAUUAUUAAUAUUAAGCAAUUUAAUAGUAAAACUACUUUUGUACUACUUAACAAAUCUAUGCCGAUACAACAGAUAAUAAGUGAGAAUAAUCAUACUUUCUACCACUUUUUAAGUUACCUGAAAUUUAAUGGAAGUAAUCUACUAUAACAAUCGUAAAAAGAAUUAUUCCCUUUAUCUACGAAUACAACUUACAUUAAAGUUGUAACGUCGAAUCCGGCAUUCAACAAAAGCUGGGAAAAGGCAUCCAAACAAGAACAAAAUACGAAGCCAAGAUUCCAUUUUUUUGUUUGUCUGUUUAUCUCUUUUUUAACUAAUAGAAAGAGUAUUGGUUUUCUUUUCAGUUGUGAUAGAUGUCUUUUAGACUUGUAUAUAUAUAUAUAUAUAUAUGUGCGCGCGCCUACCAAAAAAAAUAUGUGUGAAAGGCCUUUUUAAUUUAAAUUUAAUUUUAAUUUGCUGCUGAGUCGUUUUUCUUUAGUUAGGUGAUGACAUGGAUGUUAGGGUCCCUCUCUAUCAAACACAACAACAAACUUUCAUUUUGAAAAAGAAAAGUUAAAAAAAAAAAAAACAUUACAACAAACUUUCAUUCAAGAAAAACAAAAACAAAAGAAUAAUAACAACAAACUUUUCAUUAGGUGCGUAAUUCUUCCCCAAUUAUUUCUUGCAUGUUACAUAAAGUACAAACUCUGUGAACCACCAUAUGAUUUUACAAGUUAAAGUUAUUUUUGUAUGUGGGUGAAAGGGCUGAGUGUAAUAAGUAUUUUUCAAUAAAAUGUUAGAUGUCUUUAAUUUAAGUUGUAAGUUUAAAAUUAUUAUUCAUAGAAAACGUUUUAUUUUUUAAAAUGAGACGUGUGUGAAUCUAAAUUAUUCAGACCUCAAAAGAGGUGUCGAAGGUCAAGUAAGAAAAAGUAUAUGGGUGAGAAAAUUAAUUUUGAUCUUCAUUUUCUCGAUAUGAUUAUAAUAUCCAAACAAAUGACUGUCAAAAGCCAUAUGAUUCUUAUGUUUUUUAUCCAUGGCCCCACAUGCUACAAAAUUAGAUAAGCUCUUCAAUUAACUUCCACUAACUUAAUGUCUCCGUCAAAAAACUGAAGUACAACAAUUUUGAAAGGGAGCCGUUUGGACAUAGCAGUUUUUAUCCAUUUAAAAAAAAAAAAAACAUUUUAGGUACAUUGAGUUUUUAUUUUUAUUUUUUAAAAAAUUGGUGGUAGAGGAAUUAAAAAAAAGUUGAGGAAUUAUAAGGUGAGAAUUUGAACCCUCACGAAUAAGGUGAAAAUAACCUACCGACUGAGCUACAAAGUACAACUAAAACCUCCUUAAUGGAUUGAUUUAUUAUUUAGUUUGAGAAAUUGGUUAUCCAAAUAGAAUUUCAAUCUUUAAGUAUCAUUUUCAACUUCAACUUCCAAAAAAGAAAUUCCUUCACAACUAAAUGUAUGUUCAAACACCUACUUAGUUUCUUAGUUUAGUAAAUAACUUACUGGUUUAAGAAGAAAAUUUACUGACUUUUUGUGAUCCUUAGGAAUUUCUGUUCAAGUGACUCAAUUUUCACCAUAUCCUUUUCACCAACAAAAACAGUAACCACAACAAGUAUUUUUAAUUAGCCACGCAUUUAAUUUAAAAAAAAAAAAAAAGAAAAAUUCAAUUUUUUUUCUUCUUUUUAAUUUUUGUCUUCUGUUAUAAAUAUACCAUAUAUAGUGAAUGUCUAUUUUACCAUAUACAAUGAAUAUCUAUUUUACCAUAUAUUGUACAAACCCCAAGGUUAGUUUUUCCUAUAAAUAAAAGGGGUUUCCCUUCAUUGCAAUUCAUCCAUCAAGAGAAAUAAGAAUUACUCUCUAUUCUCUCUACUCUUCUUAUUUAAUUUUUAUUGUUUUAUAACACGUUAUCAGCACGAGACUCUGCUAAACAAGAUGAGAUUAUAAAUCUAAAGUUAAUUUCAAGGUUAGUAAUUCCUUAUAUUAUCUGUCUUUUAUUACUAAUAAUAUAAUUAUUGUUGGAUUUGAGGAAAAAUAAUUGGUUUGGAACCAUUUAUGUUUUAAAUUUAUUCCUCAAGAAUAAUAUUAUCAAAAGGGAUGAUAAUAUGUUGGGUUUAAAUCCCAUCAAUUUAUGCCUAAGACGUCUUUAUAUGAGUAACACGUUGAGUUUGAAUCUCAAUGCACCAUAUUGAUGAUAUUAUGAUGGCUAAGGCAAAAUAGUGUAUUUUUAAUGAAAAGUCAUGAAAUAUGUCCCAUUGAAUAUGCUCCAUCAAAUCUACAAGUGUUAUUUUCGUAUGAGUUUGAGUUAUAUACAUUAUUAGUGUAAAAAACUCUACACCAUCAAAUCUUUUUACAUAUUGUAAUUGAUAAAAUUGUAAAAUUGUCUACAUGUCAAAUGAAAAAUAUUAAUUUUGUUGGACCAACAAUUUGAAUUAUAAUUUUUUUGGGACCUAUACAGUUUUGAUGAUUGACAAAAUAACUGAAAAAAAUUAGUUGAAUUAUUUCGUAGAUGCUCAGGUGAAAGAUGAUACGUUCAUAGAAAGAUCACUAAUAUGAGAAGACAAGAUUGCACGAUUAAAGAAAGAGAUAAGUGGUAUAUUUGGCGGUGAACUACAACACUUGAAGAAGUUUAAAUUGAAGUAGAAGUCCUAACUGAAGUAGAACUCUAACAAAUGAUCCUGAUUAAAAAAGAAGUUUGAUUUGAAUAAGAACUCUAUGGAGAGUUGUGUUUAAAUAAAAGGAGUGACGCUCACAGUUACUCACACACUAAAAAGAAAAAAUUCAAUUGAAAAAUUGACUUGACUGUAUACAGCUUGAAGAUUGAAGAAACACUUUGUUGAACCAGGUCCUGAUACUUAGAAAGAUAAGGAUUUUUAGUCUUUGUGUAUCAGGAUCAGUUCUUGAGUUAUAACUUUGAUCUAAUCCUAGUGUCAGUGAGUUAUAAACUGAGUUAGAUUAUUAUCUUCAAUUUGAGAAACUAGAAGACUUGGAUCACAUACCUUGGGAGGUUUGUGAGUUUUUUCAAAGAUGAAUUAGAGCUUAUAAUUCCUAGGUUACAGAAGUCUUGUAAUUUGUUGUUGAUGAGUCUCAAGUUGUUUAGUAAAGUUGGGGUGAAAUCCUGUAGAGGUACAGGUCGUGAUUUUUCAUACCUUUUUUAGCCGGGUGUUUUCCACGUAAAAUACUAUCUUCUGUACUUAUAUUAUUACUACUUUGUUGAAAAAUAUUUGGCAACCCAUUUCACUCUAGCUACUCUUAAGUAACUAUAAGGAAAUUAAUAGUCUGUGGACUUUAUCAUUUGGUUUUAGAGAAAGGUUAUCUUGAAAGGGUUAACACCUAAUAUAAGAUUAUGAUGAGCUCUACACCACUUAUUGUACACAGUAAAGGUCAGUCAAUAACUCGACCACCACUCUUUGACUGGGCUCAUUUUAUUUGGUGGAAGGAUAGGAUGGAAAUAUAUCAUCAAGGUGAGAAGUAUGAAUUAUGGGAUAAAAUUACUGAUGUACCAAUAAUUCUUAUGAAGAUAGUGGACAAAGAAGAGGUGAAGAAGGUUAGAAGUGAAUUCACCACUGAGGAUCUUAUUGCACUAAGAAAGAAUGCAAAGGCCAAAAACAUUCUUGUUUGUGUCUUGGUCCAGCUGAUUACAAUAGAGUGUAUAAUUGCAGCACUGCUAAAAAUAUUUAGGAUACCUUGGUAAAUGCACAUGAAGAUACUAGCCAAGUAAGAAAAUUUAGAAUUGUCUUACUUUUCACUAAAUAUGAGGCCUUCAAAAUGAAUAAAAAUGAGUCAUUACAAGACAUGAUAACUAGAUUGACCUCUUUGGUAAAUAAGUUGCCAUCUUUAAGGAAUGUAUUAUCUAUUGAGGAACAGGUAGAGAUGGUCUUGAGAGUUUUGCCAAAGUAAAAGUGGGAUGUUAAGGUUACAACAAUAAGAAAAUCUAAGGAUCUCACCAUAAUGUCCCUGGGUGAGCUAGUUGGCAACUUAAAGACCCAUGAGAUAAACAUGGAUUACCUAAAAAGGAUGAAGUGGUUAAGGAAAAAUCAAUGGCAUUUAGGGCAUAUGACAUUGAUGAAUUUGAAAUAGAUAAAGAACAAGUACCCUUCAUUACUAAAAACUUCAAAAAAGUUUUCAAGAAAAAAGAUCUGACAAAAAAGGAAUAGGUAUUAAGAAACGGUCCAAUGACAGAAAUCAGGUUGGAUGCUACAAAUGUAAAAAACUGAUCAUCAGAUUAAGGAUUGUCCUCUUUGAAAAAUUGGGUGAAAAAAGGAACGGGCUAAAAAGGAACUGAAGAAAAAGUCUAAAAAAAAGAAAAAAGGAGGGUUAUGCCAUGGUAGCAGCUUGGAGUUCAGGUUCAGAAGAAUCAAAUGAUGAGGAUGUUGAUGAAACUGCUCUCAUAGAAAACAACUUCUUAGGUAAGCAUUCUUGAACUAAAAUAAAAGUUGAAUCUUUUUUCAAAAAGAAAGCUUGUUUUAUUAAUGAGUGCCUGUCACGACCUGAGAUUUCCCCUUAGUCAUAACACACUGUUUAGUGUCACAAGUGACUCCAAGAUAACUCAUAGCCUGGCAUAGCACUAACAAUACUGAAAGAAAUAUCAAAAUAUUGUUCCCAAUCUAAACUGUAAAUAAGUUAAUAUUAAGUAAUAAUGGAAUCAAUACUAACACUGUCUGAAAAACUCAACAAACUUAAGAAUCUAAACAUCUAUCUAUUUGUUUGAAAAGCCUUUAACUAGUAUGAGUUAUUGGGACAAGCCCUCAACUAACACCAACUGACUGGAACUAAAAUAAAUGUUGAAAUAAAUAACUGAUAAUUGAUUUUCGAAUGAUGAAGACUCACCAAUACUAUAGUUGAUGGUACGGACACGUGCUAAGUGUGAUCCGGGUACUAAGCGUCCAAACCUAUAUUAUGAGACAAUAUAAUGCAGAAAAGUAUGCGAUCAGUACUUUGAAUGUACUGAGUAUGAGAGAUGGGAAUACUAACUAAUAUAAGUUGAACGUGCAUGCAUGAAAAAUGGUAAAGUGAAUGCAAGACCAAGUAUUAUCAUGCUUUGAAUGAAAACUGAAUAUCUAAAUAACUACAUACAAGGUCAUGCAAAUCUGAACUGAACAUAAAUUGAAAAGAGAGUUGAGGAGUGUGGGAGCUAACAAUAAUCGACAUACCCCAAGCUGAGCAAAUCGAGGUCCAACCUGUAACCCCAGUUGGAAGCAUGUCAGUAUCUUGCCAAAGGUACCAAUACUGGUUGGCAUGGAUCCACUAAAUUGAUGUCCUGAAGGACAAGGGUGUCAGCCUCAACUGUCGGCUCCCCCUUAUAACCUACGGUGGCACUGUAUUUCUGGCACUUAGGGACUUCUACUAAUGGUCUCAAGUCUAACUGAUAGGUGAGCCAUCAUUCCUGUGUUAACUAGGUGCUUCGUACUAGUCCCAACUGAAAUGACAUUGAUAACUGGUAUAUGCUCAAUAUAAUGUUAUUCUAAAAAUAGCAACAUAAUCAUAAUUUGAAAUGCUCAUAACAUGUAAACUGAUGUAUGCAUGAAUUUAUAAGUAUCAGGUGUUCAUAACCCACCAGCUCUAAUCAAGACAAUAUUAACUGAAAAUUAAGAUAAAAUUUACAAUUCAAGCCUCAAAACUCAACAUCUUAUCAUUAUAAGGAAAUUCAUGAUUUUCGAAUAUGGAAAGAUGCUAAUUUUAUGAAAAAAAACAUGUACUCAUGGUUUAGCUACAAGAAUAACUGAAAAAAUAAAAGAAAACUCAUAUUUGACCUGGAGCCCAAAACUUGAAGGGAAAUUAAACAUGAGGACUAAGAAAUCUUGGGGACUCAAUGGUGGAAAGAACUAUUGAUAAAUUCCCACAUACCCGGAGGUGGAUAUCUUGAAGUACUCUUUAGAAUUUGAACUUGAGAUUAAGAAACCCUAAUUUGGAUUUGGAGAAGAAUAAUCACCCCUUUUCUUGGUUUCAAUUUACUUUGUGACUUAAUGGGGAGUUUGGGGCUUAUAUUCCACCAUGUAAAAGUCUAAAUGAUGUGGGUUAGGAGUUAAAAGAAUGGGAAAAGACCAAAACUCCUUUCUUAAAACAUACAGGAAAAAAACUGAUAGUAGUCAUAAUGGUUGAAGCAACGACUUGUUGGGUCAGGUAACGAGUCGUGGCUUGGAUACAUUAUCAGAGGACCAAAGCAUUUGGUCUUUACUAUUGUGACAAUGGCUCCUUGUGAUGACUCAUGAGGUCUAACCAUGAGUCAUUUGUAAGAGUCGUUGUCAAGAGGCUGAUUUUCUUGGUUUCUCUCUAUUGUCAUGAUGAGUUCUCCAUGAUGACUCAUUAUUAGUGAUAAUGAGUUAUAGGAUGGGGUCGUUAUCAUCGGGAUGAAAUCUUGGGUCCAUCACUGUUGUGGCAAUGACUCCACACAAUGACUCGUUGUGUCUGAAAAUGGGUCAUUGCCAUAGUCGUUGUCACUGGCCGCUUAACAGCUCCUCAGUUAACUUGUUAUAACAUUUCAUUACGACAUCGGAUUAAGGCGGGACUGGUGGCGUUGGAAGGCAAAUUUAAUGUCCUACAUUAUGAUGGGUCUAAAGCUAAAAAAUUUAGGGUAUUACAAUAUCUCCCCUUGGGAUCAUUCAUCCCUGAAUGAAACUAACUAAGCUGAAGUACUUGGAAAAAAGCUAAAAUUUUGUAUUGAACACUUACGAGCUGAACCAUGAGUUGAUAUUUGAAUCUAUUACUGAUACGUGGACUAAACUAAACUCAUGAAUGUAUUUUAUGACAUGAAAAUAUCUAGAUGGCCUAAGAUGGAUAUGAAAGAAUUAAUUAAUUAAGAGAACUAUUACCUCAAGCUGGGACUCGGUUCGAAGAGAAAAGAUGGGGGUACUUGGCUAGAAUAUUUACCUUUGUUUCCUAAGUAGCUCUCUCUAUUAAUGGAUUUCUCCACAGAACCUUUACUAAAGAAACCUUUUUAUUCCUCAACCUACGAAUUGACGAUCAAGGAUAUCAACUGGGACUUCUUCAUAAAAGAGACUAUUUUUCAUGUCAUUCCUUUCUAAAUAAACUAUAAAUGUUGGGUCACCAAUGCAUUUCUUCAACAAGGAGACAUAAAAAACUGGAUGCACUAAUGUUAAAUCUGAAGGCAACUCCAACUUAUUGGCUACCUUACCAUAUCAUCUCAAAAUCUUAUAAGGACCAAUAUAACAGGGACUGAGCUUCCCUUUCUUACCAAUCUCUUCACCCCUUUUAUAGGCGAAAACUUCAAGUAGAUAAAAUCACCAAUAUCAAACUCAGGCUCCCUCUUUCUCACAUAUACAUAAGAUUUCUAACGACUUUGGGUAGUUUUCAGUCUUUCUCUAAUCAACUGAACAUUUUUCAUUGCCUUAUGUAUUGAAUCUAGCCCUAUCAAGGUAGCCUCACCAACCUCAAACUAAACAAUAGGAGAUCUAUACCUCCUACCAUAAAGAUCCUCAAAUGGGGCCAUUUGAAUACUAAAGUGAUAGAUGUUAUUGUAAGAAAACUCAAUCAAAGGCAAGUCUUCAUCCCAAAUACCCUUGAAACUAAUUACACAUGCCCUCAAUAUGUCUUUAAAGGUCUAAAUGGUCCUCUCUGCCUGACCAUCUGUCUAUGGGUGACAAGCUAUACUAAGAUGAACUCGGUUACCAAGACCCUUCUGAAAUACCUUCCAACAUUAAGAGGUAAACUGGUACCUCUAUCUGAAAUAAUGGUCAAAAAGACCCCAUGAAACUUCACCAACUCCCUAAUGUAGAGCAUAGCAUACUCUUCGGCUGAAUAUGAAGUAUUAACUGGAAAUAAAUUAGCUGACUUAGUCAUUCGGUACAUAAUACCCAAAUAGAGUCGUGCUACCGAUGAGUACGAGGCAACCCUGUAGUGAAGUCCAUAUUCACCACUUCCUAUUUCCAAGUGGGAAUACUAAAUUCAUGAAGCUUACCAUUAGGUCUCUAGUGCUCAACUUUGACCUGCUAGAAAUUUAGACACUUAGCCAGGGAUUCUGCAAUAUCCUACUUCAUGCCAUUCCACGAAUAGAAUUUCUACAAAUCGCGGUACAUCUUAGUGGCUCUUGGGUGAAUAGAAUGUCGAGAAAUGUGAGCUUCUACUAACACCCAUUGUAGCAAAGUGUCUAUAUCCGGAACAUAUAAUCUGCCUUGAUAGUCAAGAAUACCAUCUCUCCUUUUAGAGAAAACCUCAACCUUAUCAUUCCUUACAUUCUCUUUCAACUUAAGAAAAGUAGGAUCACUAUCUUGCUUUUCCUUCACCUUAGCAACCAAUGAAGAUUUCAAGCUAUCUUGAACCCAGACACUACCUUUGGUCAAAUCAACCAACUGAACUCCCAACCUAUAAAGCUGAUGAACCUCACGAACUAACUCCUUAUUGUCACCCUCAAUGUGAGCAACACUCCCCAUAGACAACCUGAUAAAGGCUUCAGCCAUGAUAUUGGCCUUACCCAGAUUGUACAAAACACUCAUAUCAUAAUUCUUCAACAACUCUAGCCAUCUUCUCUGAUAAAGGUUUAGAUAUUUCUAAUUGAAAAUAUACUAAAGACUCUUGUGAUCAGUGAACAUAUCAACAUGGUCCCCACAAAGAUAUUGUCUCCAAAUUUGUAAGGCAAAGACAACUGCUUCCAUCUCAAGAUCACAAGUUGGGUAGUUCUUCUCAUGAGGUUUUAUCUUUCUAAAAGAAUAUGCUAUAACCUUACCUCACUACAUCAACACAGAACCAAAGUUAACUCUGAGGGUGUGUUUGGUAUGAUGGAAAAUAUUUUCCAUGAAAAAUGUUUUCCUGGAAAAUAAGUGGGUUUUUUACUUAUUUUCUCAUGUUUGGUUGGUGAGUGAAAAAUAUUUUUUGAAAAAUAUUUUAUGGUGUUAGGUUGGCGAGUAGAAAAUAUUUCUUAAAAAAAUAUUUUCUAGUGUUUGAUUGGUGAGUGAAAAAAUAUUUUUUAAAAAAUACUACUAACUAUUAAUUAGUAUAUCAGUGUCUCUAGCAACUCAACAAUUUGUAAGAACUAAUUUAAGCAUAUAAACUAAUAUUAAUAUCGAAUACUAAAAUAUUACAAUCACUAAAUUUAAGAAACUAUUAAUUAGAAAAUAUAAGAGACAUUUUUCAAUAUUUUGUCAGGACAAUCUCAAGAUACUACAAGUAGGGGCGUACAUAGGUCGGGUUGAUUUGGUUUUCUAUUGAAUAAAAAUCAAACCAAUUAUGUCGGUUUAUUAAAACUAUAAACCAAAUCAAACCAACAUAAAAUUUGUUUUUUCGGUUUAGAUUUUAGUCGGUUCUUUCGGUUUUUUUAGUUUUUCUCAUUUUUUUUAUAAUCUUUAUUUUUUACAAUUAUAUUGUGAUUGAAGUUUAGAUCAAGUAUAUUUUCACUCAUGUGCUAAUGAAAAACCACAAUUAUAAAAAAUAAAGGAGCGAAAAACUCUCUUGAAACUAAAAAAUAAGAUGAAGAGUGAAAAGUUUAGGUUUUAAGUUUAUAUUGGAUUUUGAAUUAUUUUAUUAGCAAUUAAUGAAUAAACAUUACAACUUAAAGGCCCAAAUAUGAAUAUAUAUAUACACACACACACAUCUACUUUCUAAAUAUUGAAAAUUAAUAAAACUAAUUGAAAAAAGAUUUAAAAGGUAGAUUAUAAUUAAUAUUUUAUGUAUAAAGUCGGGUUUUUUUUUAAACACCAAACCAACCAAACCAAACCAUAAGUUGGUGUUUUUUCUCGAUUUGGUUUAUUUUUUUGGUUUGGUUUGACUUGACGGUUUGAUCUGUACACCCCUAACUACAAGCAAUAGAAAUAUAGCGGAAUGACAAGCUUAGUCAAACUUGUGAAACAAGUUACAUCAAUGACAAAAUAAAAUAUGCAAUUAGCAAAAAUAACAUAGGUAAGUCUUCCUCUAUGCAUAUGAAAAUAACAAUACAUUCAACGAACAUUGGAAAAGGAAAAAAUUUGGACUUCACUAUUUUUUAUUUCAAGCAGUGAAAAAUUGAAACAAAGCACAGUGAAAAAUAUUUUUGAGUAAUGUAAAUUUUUGAGAAAUGUAAAUUUUUUGAGUCAUGUGAAAUAAGUGUUAUUGGGGUGGGGGCAUAAGUCACAUUUUCCAUUUUUAGAAAAAUGACUUCCCUGGGUCCAUAAGGGAAAUCAUUUUCCCUCAAAUAGAGAAAAUGAGUUAUCUUGGAAAAUAUUUUACUACAACCAAACAAGGGAAAAUAGGAAAAUAUUUUCUAGAAAACAUUUUCCAUCAUACCAAAUACACCCUGAAAGCAUCACAAUAUACCACAAAACCAUUGAGCCCUCUGGCAGAGUCAAAAUUAGAGUGGUGGUAAGUCGAUUCUUCAACUCUUAAAAACUCUUCUCGUAAGAAUUGGACCACUGAAAUUUAACUUUUUUCUGAGUCAGUCUAGACAUAGGAGAAGAAAUAGAGGAAAAUCCUUCAACCAAAUAUCUGUAGUAGUCGGCUAAACCAAAAAAACUUCUAAUAUCUGAUGGAGAGAUAUGUCUAAGACAGUUCCUUACUGCUUUAGUCUUUUGAGGAUCAACUUGAAUGACUUCACUGGAAAUAAUGUGACCAAGAAAUGCUACUGAUUUCAACUAGAACUCACACUUGUUGAACUUAGAAAAUAAUUGGUGUUAGAAAAUAAUUGGUGAUCUUUUAGAGUCUGAAAUAACUGAACAAACUAACUUCUAAGGACAUAAUAGUUGGCUUUCCCAAAAAUAAGUUCAAAGAAAAAAAGGUUUGUAGUGCAUGUGUAAGGAUGAAGUAAGGAAUAUUAUCCUCCAAAACAAAGAACCAUGUCAACACAACCAAGUGCCUUGAUUUGGUCCAUGUGAACCUUUGUGGACCAAUGAGGGUAUAAAGUAGAGAAAAUAAGAGGUUUGUUUAUGUAAUUAUUGAUAAUUAUUCCAGGUUCACCUGGACACUAUUUUUACCUUUCAAAGAGGAUGACUUUGAUGUCUUUUCUAUUUUCAUCAAUAAAAUAAAAAAUAAAUAAGUACGUUACUAGUUUCCAUAAGAUCUGAACAUGGAACUAAAUUUGAAAAUAUAAAAAUUUUGAAAUUUUGUUCAAUAAAUGGAAUAGAACAUAAUUUCUCUACUCCUAGAACACCACAAAAAAAUAGAGUAGAAGAAAGAAAAAUAAGACCUUGAAAGAUAUUGCUAGAACAAUGAUGAUUACAGAAAAUUUUGCAAAAGAUCUUUGGGCUGAGGCCAUAAGCACUGCCUGUUACAUUGUGAAUGGAUGCAUGAUUAGGCCCCUCCUUGAGAAGACUCCCUAUGAAUUACUUAAGGGAGAAAACCUAAUAUUUCUCAUUUUAGGACUUUUGGUUGCAAAUGUUUUAUUCAUAACAAUGAAAAAGUUUGGAAAAUUUAAUGCAAGGAUUGAUGAGAGAAUCUUCUUUGGAUAUUCUCACCAUAGCAAAGCUUAUAGGGUCCUAAAUAAAAGAACAAAUUAUGUUGAAGAAAGUGCUCAUAUUAUUUUUUUGUGAAUCUUGCACUGUGCCUAAGACUAACAGGCUAGAUGAAAGUAAGACUGAAGAGCAGUCACAAGAGCAGGUUGCACCACCCGAUGCAACUAAAGGGCAUACUAGAGGCACAUUGACAGGGGAGCUGAACCAACAACAUUUGUUUAAGCUACUACCAAUGCUCCUAGUAGCUCACAAGGGGUGGUGCCUAAAAGCUACAUGUAUCAAGGAUCUCAUCCUAUUGAAGAUAUUCUCAAUGAUCUCAAUUUUGAGAUCAUCACUAAAUCAGAAUUGAAUAACUUGUGUAGCUUCAAGGCUUUUCUAUCACUGAUUGAACCUAAAAAGGCAAAGAAAUCACUUCUUGAUAUAGAUUAGAUAGUUGUUAUACAAGAAGAACUCCACCAGUUUAAAAGAAGUAAGGUAUGACACUUGGUUCCAUCUCCACGUAAUAGAAAGUUAUUGAAACUAAGUGGUUAUACAGAAACAAGGUUGAUAAAAAUAGAACAGUUACAAGAAAUAAGACUGGUAGUCCAAGAAUACAAUUAGGAAGAAAGUAUAGACUAUGAUGAGACAUUUAAUAUAGUGGAAAGACUUGAAGUAAUCAAGCUCUUUAUAGCAGUUGCUGCAUUCAAGGAAUUCACUCUUUAUCAAAUAGAUGUAAAGAGUGUAUUCCUGAAUGGAAAUCUAAAGGAGGAAGUAUAUGUGACACAACCACUUAGGUUUGAAAGUACUAAGUUUUCUGAUUAUUUCUACAAGCUAUACAAAGCUUUUUACGGGUUGAAACAAGCCCCAAGGGCUUGGUAUGAAAGAUUGUCAAAAUUUCUCCGGGAUCAUGGGCACACUAGGGGUAAAAUUGACAAAACCCUCUUUUUUGAAAACUAAUGGCAAGGAUUUAUUAAUUAUGUAGGUAUAUUUGGAUAAUAUUAUUUUUUGCUCUACUGAUGUGAACAUGACUCGUGACUUUUCAAAGCUUAUAUGUAGUGAAUUUAAGAUGAGAAUGAUUGGAGAAUUAAACUUUCUCCUAGGAUUUUAAAUCAAACAAAAUCCUACAGGCUCAUUGAUUCACCAACAAAAGUAUGUGAAAGAAUUUCUCAAGAGAUUUUCUAUAGAGAAGGCUAAGGAGAAAAGCACUACCAUUGCUACAAUGACAAUAUAUGAGAUGGAUAAAACAAGUCCAUUUGUAAAAUAGAACAUGUAAAGAGGAAUGAUUGGGUCUCUUUUGUAUUAUACUAUAAGUAGAUUUGACAUUGUCUUUAGUGUUAGCUUAUGUGCAAGUUUUCAAGCAAAUCCUAAGGAGCCCCAUCUCAAGUCUGUCAAAAUGAUAUUAAUAUACCCUAAAGGAACUAUAGACUUAUGCCUUUGGUAUCCUAAAGAAAGUAAUUUCAAGUUAAUAGGCUAUGCAAAUGUGACUAUGCAAGUUAUCUUGUAGACAAAAAAAAAUACGAUAUGCAUGGUACACUUUCUUGGAUCAUGUUUAAUUUCAUGGUCCACCAGGAAGCAAAAUUUAGUAGCCUUUUCCACUGUUGAGGCUUAGUAUGUAGAUAUUGGCUCAUAUUGUGCAUAGUUAUUAUGGAUUAAACAGAAAUUGAGGAAUUUUAGUAUAGAUGUUGGUUGUGUUCCAAUCCUUUGUUAUAAUAAUAGUGCCAUAAAUAUUGCUAAAAAUUUGAUUCAACAUAAGAGAACUAAAAAUAUUGCUAUUAUGCAUCACUUUCAUAGAGACAGUGUUGAAAAGGGUCAUAUAUCACUCAUAUUUUGUUCUACUAAAGAGCAAAUUAUUGAUAUUUUUACUAAGGAACUAAGUAGAGAGCAUUUUGGAAAAAUAAGUUUGACUUGGGGAUGAUUAAAAUAGCAUGAACUUCCUUCAAUGAUUAGCUAGAAAAUGUAUUCAUUGCAUGCUAGCUUUUGCUAUUCAAUUCAGUCUUGCCCAUUUAGUUGUGUGUCCGAAUUCCAGUAUUCUGACAAUUUAUUCUUAAUUUUGUCUUAGCUAUACAGAGUUAAGGACAAUACAAAGCUGUGAAGAUUAUGAAAUUUCCCUAAGGUAUGAUUUACUUGAGUUAGUAAUAAACUUUACAUUAUGAAAUAGCUAGGCAUUUAUGUUCCAUGAAUAAAUAUUUUCUGACACGCGCUCUUAGUAACCGCCAAAACCUAAAAGUCCCUCUCCUUUUCAAAAGCUACCAUUGCUUUCACAUAACUGUCCUAUCUCCUCUUUCAAUUUGUUCACUUUGAAUCUGUUUGCUCAUACUCGCUUCAACUUCUUUCUCUCUAUCUGCCCAUCGAAAACCUAGAACAUUUUAGUCUAUGAACACAACUUCCAAAAUUUAUCUUACUUGCUCCAUCAAUUUUUUUCUCUACAAAUGGCUUCUCUUAUCCAUUCUCUCCAAUCAAGAAAGAUUCAACCAACUCCUCUUCUGAUUCCUUCGCCAUUGUUGUUCAUCACAAUGUCCCUAAAUUGUCAGAAAUUCCUUCAUCCCUCUCAUUCAAAAUAUUUGACUUUGGGGCCUAGAACAUGUUUUAUUCCGUGGUUCAUUCUUUCGCUCAAGACCCUCUUCCAAUUAAUCCUAUUGUAUUUCUCCCUUAGAUCUAGUUCAAUAGGUCACUCUUCUUCUGAUUAUCCCUCUUGAUGACAUUCCUUCUCUUACUCCUAUUCUAAAGCGAGUUUUAUCAUGCCUAGUAAAAAAAUCUAGGGAUUGACUUUUAGUUCCUGAGGAUGAAUCCAUCUCUGAAACAUAUUCCUAUCCUGGUCCACCUAGGAUUCCUCAUAUAAGAAAUAGAAAAAGUCAAGAGGAUUCCCUCUUGAACAAGCUCUUAAGGCUAGUUAACAAUAGGUCAUCAUUCAUUAUCUCCUCUUCCCCAUGUGAUCCACCCUCUGAUAUGACUUACUUCUUUAAAAAUUUUGACAUGGGAGAAUUGUAAAGUCCUCUAUCCAGUUAUCUUUUCUACGUCCCUUUAGGUCUACUUAUUCCUCCACAUCUUUUAAGAAAUCUUCACCAAAACUAUCCAAACCCUCUACUACCAUGUCUAAACAAACUCCAAAUAUUGAAGUCUUUGAAAUGGGUUACUCUACAUGGUUUAUCUUCUGAUUCAGAAGCCACUGAGGAUUUUGUACCUCUUUCUACCAUUGUUGAGACCAAUGAGUCUUCUGAUCCUCACUUUCAACAUGUCAUGCAUUUUUAAAAAAGGUCUUUUAUUUGAGUAUGAGUUUUUAUUGGUUUUGAUGGACCUAAAAUGGCCACUUCUUGGCAAAACUAGACUUUCAGGGUUGGGCCAUCCUAUUUCUUUGAUGGACCUAAAAUGGACACUCUCUUGGCAAAACUAGACUUUUAGGGUUGGACCACCAUAUUUCUUCAAGGUAGUACUCAGCAUAAGUUUGGGAGGCCUGAAGUCUAUGAGUUUUAUACCAAUGGAUCUACAAAUAGAGAUGUUUUCUCUACCUUUACAUGAGGAGUAUCUAUCCAUCUUUUUACUAAAGAUAUAACACAAAUCCUUAACAUUCCUCUUGGAGUUUGAGAUCACUAUGUCAAAUUUAAAUGGCCAUAUUUAGAUAAUACGACAUCUGCAUUGGACAUCAUUAGGAAAUUCUUUGGAAAUCCCAAUCUUACUUUAGCAUCAUUGUGUUUUCAAGCGGAAAAUAUUCCCUCUUCAUUAGUUUUACUUUAUUGUAAUCCAUAAUAUGAUUAGUCCUCAUAAAGAGAGGUGUACUAAAUCAAAUUACCUAGACCUCACUCUUAUGGAACUACUUGAUACUGAGGUCAAUAUCAACUUGUGCAGUCCAAUCAUUAAGAACAUGUAAAGGGUGUUUCUUAAGGAUAACAAAAAGGCACAUGCUCUUCCUUAUGAUUUUUGGUUGGCCUCAGACUUUGAAAACUACUCUGUCCUUAUGCAAAUUUGUACUCUUCAAAUGACCAAAGAUAGUUUUAGAUGUUUGAACCAUGUUGCUUUACCUGUUUUAGUAAAACAGAAGAAUAUCCCUAUGCAAAGAUUGAGGAAAUAAGUUGGUUGAUAAGGUUGCUGAGUUGGAAGAAGCCCACUCUAUCAUUGAUCAAGAUAAGGAGGCUUUUCAGGCCAGAAUAUCAAAUUUGGGGAAAUAUCUUACUUAAGAGAGGGUUGAUAAUUCAGAUGUCAUUCCUAAGUUGACAACUAAUUGAUCAUGUUCCAACCACAUCUUUUGUUUCACCCUCUUGUCUUUCUUAGGGUCGUCCUCUAAACUAUAAGUUAUUUUUUCUAGGAGCCUAGUUGCUUACUCUUUGCAUUUAUCCUAUUCUCAUGUAGGUCAUAUUUUGGUAGAUUAAUGACAUAUCUUUCUAUUUGUUCUAUGUUCUAUUUUAUGCACUUUUUACAAUAUUUUUUUAUGAUGUUGUCUUACUCUAAUUGUUUUAUAGAUAGCCCAGUGUCCAUUAUUUGUUUGGCACUAAAACUUUAUUUGUCUUAUACAUUAAUUUUACUUUUUGACGAUGCUAAAAAGGAGAAUACAAGGGUUGUACAAUGUUUAUGACUCAUUCACUAACCUAUUUCAUGCUAAGUUAUAACACCCUAAUUUGCUGAACCGGAAUGCUACACGGUGCUCAUGACCCCGAGGGACCACAAGCUAACCCAUGACUUAUAGCUGUACCUGUAUACUACAAAUCAUGAUAUAAUAAUGAGGAAUACAUAGAACUGUAAGGCCAUAAGGUUCAACUGAAUACAAUAAUGUGGGUGAAAAUACCCAAAACAACUCAAUCUAAAAGCUAAGUCUGAACGUAAAUCUAAACAAAAAUCUGAAAGCCUCUAAACUAUCUGAAUAAAGAGUUGAAGGAAAAUGUCUUCAACUAACUCCGUAAAACUAAAUUGAAGAAAUAAAUAAAUAAAUGUAUCAAAUCAUAUUGUCCUCGAAUCAAUGAGGACUCAUUGUGUCUCUUUGACUGGAAUGCUACCGCUACUGCUGGGCUGGAGCUCGUGUCUCGGAACCUAUGGUGUAAUAUGAAAAGAAAGCACCAUAGCACAAAUGCAUCAGUAUAACUGGAGUACUGAGUAUACGAGGAAGGUAGGCUGAACAUAAAGGGUUUCAUGCAUGAACAACACUGACUGACUAAUAUGAACGUGGGAGUACAAACACACAUAUAUAGAAACUGGGAUCGUGAAUACAUGAUAGCAUGACCUGUAAGCUAAUACAUGGUUUACUGAUAACUGUCAUGACUGAUACUGAAACUGAGAACAUAGAUGACUGUAUCUGACAGUCCUGUAUAUACUGAAAUCUGAAGAACGCCCUAAGUUCUUUUACUGAGACUGAUACUGAAACUGUGGGAAGUAAUGUAUAACCGACAUACCCCAUGUAUGCCAUUAUGGCUAAGCUGGGGUCCAAUCUCUGCCCCAACUGGAGGGGUGUCACUACCGUGCCACAGGUAAAGACAGCCUGUAAGUGACCCUUAUCUGGCGGGUACUCAAUAAGAAUGGUGGGAACCCUAAACUGAUGGGUUAAGCCACCUUAUCAACCCUAAUCUAAUGGGUUAAGAUGUCUCAACCUACUCUAGCUAUGUAGUUCUAGAACACAAGGAUGACUACUAAGAAUCACACCCUGAACUGGCGGGUGAGUUCCUAUCCUUGGGUUCACUCGGUGCUAACCUCUACUCCCAUAUAGAGGAGCUGGACAUAAAUAACUAAUUGUGCAUGACUUAAUCUUACUGAAUUCCAUUGAUUGGCGGAAUGUUAUUGAUAUCUGACAACUGACUAAGAUCAUGAGGUUUUCCUGAGUCACAUGACUUACUGAAGUCUAUGGAAUCAUAGCUUGAUUUUGGAUAUCAUGAAAUAUGACAUGGAUCUAGGCACACAGCUAUAGUUUUUGGGUACAAGUACCCCCAGGACUCGAUGGAAGGGAACUGACACACAUGACUGACUUGAUUAUAAGAGUAGAGUCCAUAAUUUAUAAUAUCAUAAGUAGGGAUCUCAUACUAAGCAUGGUUAUCAACAAUGUAUUACAUGGGAUUUCAUAUCACAUGGAAGUACUUGCACAAUCUUAAUAUCAUGUUCAUUGCAUAAUCAUAUUGGAAACACAUACCAAUAGCAUGGAAGUUCAUAUGGAUUGCAUGGUUAUCAUACAUCUUGUUCAUAAGUAGGAUUUGCAAGUAAACAUAGCAUAAUAUCAUAAGAAUAGUUCAUGAGUAUUCCAACAACAUUUACAAGGAACAUUAUCAAUAUAGAAGUCAUUGGAAUGUAAGGGCAAAUCAUGAAUCCUUUACUUAGUCACAAUUUAGCAAUAUUGCCUGAUUUCUAGUUUCUUAGGCAUUUUAUCAAACACCUUACAUGCACAUCUUAAGAAUAGGUGAAAUCAUCAAAUUAUACAUCAUGAACAACCAAAUUUACAUGUUUCCAACUCAUAUGAUAUCAUGAAAUNNNNNNNNNNNNNNNNNNNNNNNNNNNNNNNNNNNNNNNNNNNNNNNNNNNNNNNNNNNNNNNNNNNNNNNNNNNNNNNNNNNNNNNNNNNNNNNNNNNNNNNNNNNNNNNNNNNNNNNNNNNNNNNNNNNNNNNNNNNNNNNNNNNNNNNNNNNNNNNNNNNNNNNNNNNNNNNNNNNNNNNNNNNNNGAUAAUAGGGUUGUAAUAUGUUUAGAAGCUAUAUAUUUCAUAAGGUUAAGUUUAGGGACGUGUAAGGAGUGUUAAAAGACUUAAUUACCCUUAAAAUGAGUCAAAACGGAGUGUUUUUGGCACCUGGAACUUACUUAGGCGGUGCCCAAGUGAUUGCCUAAGAUAGGUUGGGCGGGACCCUAACCAAUCACCUAUGUUUGGUUGGGCGGCACCUAACCAAUCGCCUAUGUUUGGUUGGGCGGCGCCUAACCAAUCGCCUAUCCUUAUUGUCUCUCACGAAAAUGGGUAUAACUUUUUGCUCGGGUAUUGGAUUAAAGCAAAAUUGGUAUCGUUGGAAAGCUAAUUCAAUUAUAUACAAUUUGGUGGGUCUAAAUCAGCCAAAAUACCAUAUUAACAUCAAGUUAUACUCGUUCAAAUAUGACCCUUGCAAAAUCGAACAGUAAAACUUGAUGGAUUCAAAAACUCUUAGCUUGUAUUACCUUAAGUGACUCAUAUGAACAUGCUUAAUGCAUCAUAAGCUAUCCUAUCACUAGGAUAUUCAUUGCAAGUCAUGUACUCAAGUAUGAAUCACAAGAUAGGAGAUUUCAUACGUAGGAAUACUUAAUUCACUUCCUAGCUUAGAAACAUGCGGGGUAUUACAUAAGUGUUCUUGAAUUACUGUAUACAAAGUCAAGAUUCACAAGGAUGAGGGGUUUGUCAUUACCAAAAAUAGGAAAUUUGGUGGGAUCAUGCAGUUUUGGUGAUUAACAGAAUAACAAAUAUAGGUUAGUUGAAUUGUUUCAUAGAUGCUUAGGUGAAAGAUAAUGAGCUCAUAGAAAGCUCCCUGAUAUGAGAAGACAAGGUUGUGCGAUUGAAGAGAUAAGUGGCAUAUCUGAUAAACUCAAAAUAAAGUAUCAUGUGCGAAUUUAAGGAGUUAGAGGUGAACUACAACACUUGAAGAAGUUUGAGUUUGAAUUGAAUUAAAAGUCAUAACUGAAGUAUAACUCUAACAAAUGAGAGUCCUAAUUGAAGAAGAAGUUUGAUUUGCAUAACUCUGUGGAUAGUUGUGUUUGAAUGGAGAGAGUGAUACUCACAGUUAGUCAAGAACUAAAAAAAGGCAAUUAAAUUGACUUGACUUUCUGUAUCUUGAAGACUGAAGAAAUACUUUGUUGAAGCUAGUCCGAGACUUAGAAAGAUAAGAAGUCUUAGUCUUUGUGUAUUAGGAUUAGUUCUUAAGUUGUAACUUUGAUGUAAUUCUAGUUUUAGUGAGUUAUAAACUGAGUUGGGUUAUUGUCUUCAAGUUAGAACUCGAAAACUUGGGAUCACAUACUUUAUAAGGAGGUAUGUUAGUUUGUUUGAGUUAGAGUUUAUAAUUUCUGAAUUACAGAACUCUUGUAAUUUGUUGUUGCUAAUGUUCAAGUUGUUUAGUGAAGUUAGGUUGAAAUCCUAUAGAGGUGCAGAUCGUGAAUUUUCAUUCCUUUUUGAGUCGGGUGUUUUUGACAUAAAAAUAUGAUCUCCUUUACUUAUAUUGUUACUCUUUGUUGAAAUACGUUAGGCAACUUGUUUCACUCUUAGGCUACUCUUAAAUAAAUAUAAUUAAAUUAAUAGAUCGUGUACUCUAUCAAUUUUUAAUUUUCCAUACAUUAAAAUUAACACCUCGUAUAGUAAAAUUAAUAAACGAAAUCUUUGUCCCCACCCCUACCAUCCUCCCGCGGGAGAAAUGGUUUUCUAAUAUUUUGUAAUUUUUUUAUUUUAUAUCAUUUUUACAUGAGAUCUUCCUGUUACAACUACGAAAUCUUUACUUUUACGAGAUCUGAAAUAACCAUUUUCUUCUAUUUAAAUGAUAAAAGGGUGAAAGUCGAUUUUACAAAUAAAAAAUGCUUUAAAAAUCAAAUUCCUUCUCAACCUUAAACAAUAGUCAUACCCUCCCUCCCCUCCCUCCUCCUUUUAUCCUAUGUAAUGUCCAUUUUAUCCUUGUUAUUUAGUUUUAUAUUUAUGUAAUAUUUCCUUUUUAACCAAGGUAUUUAUAGCUUUUUAUUUAAUUUAUUAGUAGAAAUAAUUUUUUAUAGAUUUGUCCCAAAAUUAUUCCAAUAUUAUAUGCAUUAAGUGUGUAUAUAUGUAUGUACAUACAUGUGCAUAUAUUUUUGUAUGUCACCACGCUUUUAUUCCAUCUGUUUCAUAUUACUAGACCCUUAUUGGCAUGACACACCUUUUUUAAAAAAAAUUAUUAGUGGUGUAUUUUACUAAUUUAAGAUUUUCAAUUAUACUUUGAAACUUUAAAUUUGAUUAUUACUACUUUAUGUAUUUAUUUAAUGCUAAGGGUAGAAAAAAGGAUAAUAAGAUUCUCCUAAUUUCAUAAAUUGGAUGAGUAAAUUAAAAAACUAUUUCAGUAUAAACUAUGGAGUCAAAUAAUAUAAAGCGGAGGAAAUAUUCUCUAUUGUCUGUAUAAAUAAACAAGUUGAUUGUCAUUAAUGCAUCGGUGUAAUACAUAAAUUAUAAUUUAAGAUUUAAAUUAAUUCUGUCUUUAAAAAUUUGGCCUUAUUUUUAUUAGUUAUUCUGUAUUUCCUUCAUUGAAUAUAUUUAUAAAGCUAUUGUCACCCAUUAUUUUCAUUUGUAUAAGUAAAUAUUAGGGUUUGGUUACUAUUAAUAAAAUUAAUUUUUUCAUUAUGCUAAAUGACUCCCCAUAGAACAUUAUUAGUUUAUAUACUUAAUUGUUGUUUCGCACUUUUUUCAUUCAGAAGAUAAUGUUCAUGUUUUAUGAAACAUUUGUCGCAUGAAUUUUUUUUAGAAUAAAAUAUUAUGAUUUUAAAAAAAAAUAAAAAAGAAGAAGAAAAAAGUUGAUAAUGAAAUGAUACAAUAGACAUUUUAAAAAAUUAAUUAAGAAAAAAAGGAAGUAGAACUAUUGUUCAAAGUUGAGGAAAGAGUUUAAUUUUCAAAGCAGUUGGGAGGAGGGGGGUUAACAAUGAUUUUCACCCAAUUAUAAAAAGAUAAGAGAUAUCAAAUUUUCCCCAAGGAGGAGGGGUGGUUUCACCAAAUUUGAAUGAAAAUUGUAGUGAUUACUUCUUUUUUUUUUUUAAUAAAAAGGAAAAAUAGGAGAGAGAAAUUUGAUGUUUUGUUAUAAUAUUUUGCGUAUGAGGGAGAAGUAAUCAUAAUAUUUGCAUAACUUGUUUAGAGGAUAAUAGGUAAUAUACCAACCAAUGAGUUAAUUGUGUUUGCUAAUUGGUUCCUGUAUCAUUUAAUGUUGGUGAUCUACAAGACAUUAUAUUACAUUGUUUCAAAGCUAUGACUCACCUAAUCAUUCUCCACUCUACAACCAAUUCCAAAAAAGAAAAUUAUAAGCGAUGAAUAACAUUAAAAGAGAAAAUUCAGAAGAAAAUAAAGGAACUUAUGUACUAUGGGGUUGUUUGGAAUACUCACCACUUUUAUUGAGAAAGGAAUUCAUCUCCUAGAAGAUGGUUGAUUAUGUUUCAGUUUCAUGUAGAUCAAAUUAUGUAGUUCAUCUUAAUUGAUAUGAAAAGGAAAUUAUUUUUUUCUUGAAGCAUUUGGUAUCUGAAGCACAACAAUGCAAUUAGCUUUUGGCUUUGGGGGAAGUUAAUUAUUGGCCUAUUUUGUAACUCAAUAUAUUUUAAUUACCCACUCAAAAUUAGUCUAACCCGUCCAUUUAAGAUCCCCAAUUAUCAAGCUUUUGUACUACUAUCAAGAGAAAGGAGAAGAUUUUUUUUUUUUUGGAAAUUAUUCCUUCUAUUUUAGUUGGUUUUAUUUAUUAGUGUCCUUGUGUUAGAAAUGAAGAUGAACAUGGUUCAUCAUCUCAAUCUCACUCUCACUCAAUGGAAAGACAAAAUGAACAAAAUGCAAAUCUCAAACCAAAAGUCGUCUCUAGAAGCUAUCAAAGAGUUGCUCCACCAUAGACGUGUGUGACAAAAAGAGUGAACACAUCACCAAAUAUAAAGCAGCUCCAACAUGGGUCAACAUUUGGGCCUUAUAAGCAACCAACACACAGGUGGUCCAACAUUAAUUCAGCAACAGAUAAAAAGACGGCCCAACUUCAACCGAACACCCCCUGAAUAGAUGAAGUAUCUAAUAUACAUAGUAUAUAAUUUGUCUACUUUUCUAGCAUUAUAACGUCAUAUAAUUAAUUUAGCCCAACCAAUUGUAAAUAAGACGGAUGGAUAGUUAGUUAGAAUAGAAGGUUCUUUUCCAUUCCAUUAGCUUGUAUAAAUAAACGCGAUUGGCAAGAAAUAUACAGAAAAGAAUUUUUUUAAAUAUUAUAUUUUAAUUUAACAUAGUAUCAGAGCAGUAAUUAUUACAAAUCAUCUUCUCCUUUACCAAUUUUUCUUCAUCUAACCAAUCUUUAUAGUGCAUGAAGUCUCUACUUCUUCUACAUCUUCUGAUUCCACUAGCAGAACUCCACCAGCUAUGGAUCCCACUCAUGUUUAUUAUCUUCACUCUUCAGAUUUACCUAGAAUAACCUUGGCUAACACUCUAUUUGAUGGGAAAGGCUAUCAAGGAUGGAAAAGAUUAAUGCGUAUAGCACUGUCAGCCAAGAACAAAAUUGGCUUUAUCACUGGUGUUGAUGCUUCACCGGAUGGAAGAGAUCAAUGGUUAUAGUACUGUCAGCCAAGAACAUGCUCGGCAGGAGCCAUACGGUAAGGUACUAUAGAAAUAGGUCGGGUGCCAAGCUCGAGGUCAAUAACAAAUUCAAUCUCAUGGACAGGAGGAAUACCAGGCAGGUCGAUAGGAAAUACAUUAGGAACUCAUAAAUAAUAAGAACAGAGUCAAGUGAAGGACUCUCCACACAAAUAUCACAACUAUAAGCUAGAUAAAACUCGUAGCCCCUGAUAAGUCUUAUGGCACAGACAUAAGAAAUAAUCCCCGUCAGCUCCUAUCUAAUCGCUCCCUUCUACACGACUGGGGGUACGCCGGGCAUGGCUAAGGUAACGAUCUUGGCAAAAUAACCCAUGACCACAUGAUAGUAGAAUAACCAGUCCAUGCCCAGAAUCAUAUCAAAAUUCAACAUAUCCAAAAUAAUAAGUCUGGUACAAGGAUCUAGAUCACUAACUGUCACAGCACAUGAUUUAAAUACUCGAUCCACUACUAAAGAAUCACCCAUGAAAGUAGAUACAUGCAAUGACACAGAUAAUAAAUCACUAGUCAACUCCAAUUGUGAUGUGUAAUGAGCAGAUAUAUAAGAAUAAGUAGAUCUGGGAUCAAAUAAAGCAAGAGUCGACUAGUGGAACAUCAAGGUCACACAUGUAACUACAACAUUCAAGUCUAUCCCUCGGGUCUAUCAGGUACUACAUAUAACUGACCACUCUGGCCACUUGGAUAGGCACCUAACCGACCUCCUGUCUUGCCUAUUUGAGAACCUCCUUGAGUACUUUGGAAGCCACCCCUGUGACCCGUGAACUACCUCUAACUGAGGGGUAAAUAACUCUAAUAGAGAAACACCCUAAGAUAAAAUAACCAUCACCCCACAACUAGGGAAAUCCUGCAAAUAGUGACCAAAAAGUCCAUAAGUAAAUCAAGAAAUCUAAGAAGAACCUUAACCAACCAGUCCAGCUGACUCAAAAUGAUCACCAUAUCUAGACAGACUAGAAAAUGAACCCCUUGAAGACUGACCACUACCCUUACUAAGACAAUCUUCUAGCACUAGAAUGACCUCUAUCAGUAAUCUAAAAAGUUGUCAGAACAGGUUGACUCAGCUAACUCUGAAGCUGAAAGGAUGAACGUCGAGGAUAUCUACUCUGAGAAGAAAUGCGAAUAAAAAGCCUCAACUCUCUAAAAUCAGCGAACUAUCUCAAACUCCACAAUUGUCAUGGAGCCCUACUCUAAUCUAGGGAACUGAUCUGUCAAUCGAUCUCUAAGAUUGUAAGGCAUAUACUUCUCCAAGAUUAUCUUGGAGAACUGAGUCUAGGACAAAUGAGAAAAUCUAAUUAAUCUAGAAUCUAUAAAAUCUCUCCAUCAAUGACGACCAGAUAAGUACACUAGAAUGUGGCAUAAUCUUCACCACGAGUCUCAAUAAGGCCAAACCACAUAGCCUAUCCUCAAAAGUAGUCAGGAACUCAUGUGCAUCCUCUCCAAGAGAACCAUAAAAUCUCGACGGAGCUAAUCUAAGAAAUCUGUCCAAUAUCUUUUACUCCUCAAAAGACAUAACUGGCUAGGCCAUCACUGGCUGGGCGACUAUCGGUGCAGGAGAAAUCUCAACUUUAGGAGCCGUAGCUACUGGUUGUGCCCCUACCUCAAUACUACUCUGAUUUAGAGACUAUGCUCCAUUCAACGGCAUACCACCAAUAAUACAUAAGAAUUGAACUAAUACAUCUCUAAGUACUGCUGAAGAAAUGAACCCUAGUAGAGUCUGGGCUGAUCCUCGAUCCACCGCUGGCUGUGGCUAAAGAAUUUUUUGCUCGAGUCCAGAAAUAAGGUCUGGUAAAUACGUCUUAUCCUGGACUCUAACUGGGGACACAUAUCUAGGCUGUCCACAACCUCUAAGUCAUCCACGUUUAAUAACAGGAGUAGGAUCCCUAGGCUCGAUCUUGGGAUCUUCAUCUUGUGUAGCGGUAACACGUGUCCUGGCCUUCAGCGGAAGAGUAAAGUCAAGAGAAUAUUCUAUAAACCAACUCAGACUCUUAGCACGAUAUGAAUGAAAAAAGUGAAUGACUCCAAAGAAUGUCACAUAGCCUUUCGAAGAUAGAAAACAAACAUCAAUGUGUUGAUUCGCUGGACUCUAUUAGACACUUUCUCUUGUACCAAUAAUACCGAUAAAACCUAGAAUCUGAUAUUAAUUUUUCAUGACCCAAUUUAUGAAUCAUGAUGGCACCUACCGAUUCCCACCAGUAAGUAAGCCAAUACCAUAACUCAGAGCUAACGUGAUGGGUUAAUUAUGUAAGAAAGACCCAACAUAGGCUAAAUCCAAGGAUAUCAAUUGUAAAUAAAAGGGUUCUAAAUAGAAUAAACAGGAAGAAGAGAUACCAAUCCCAAAACCUGGUAGAGCUAGUACAAGAGCAACUAAUAGAAUUAAUACAAUUUCAAAUCUAGAAUAGUUAAUACAUUUGUCUCAAAUUCUAAAGAUUGAAUACAAGAUAUGGAAGGAAAUCAGGUGACUCAAACUCUAAGAGAUCUCCCUAUCUCCAAAAAUCAAUCACUACACGAACCAUGAUCAACAACGAUAACUAAUACUUAAAUCUGCACCAAAAAGGUAUAGAAGUAUAGUAUGAGUACCAAAACAACGGGUACUCAGUAGACAUCAUUGAUCGACUGAGCUAAAUCGUGAUAUAAUAAUGAUAAAGUGCAAGAUAAUCAUAACUAAGUCAAGAUACAGAAUCAAACCUGAAUUAUCUCUAUCAUCACUGUAUAUGAUAAGUAAGUAAUCCAGAAUAAUAGUAUAACAUAAGGCACCAACAUGUGCUAGUAUCACUGAAUAUCAUAAGUAUGAAACAUCGAAAUCACAAUAUGACAUAAGGCAUCAACGCAUGCCAAUAUCGACUUACAUAACAUAUAUUAAACAUCAGAAUAACAAUAUAAUAUAAAGAAUCAAUGCAUGCCAAUAUCGUCGUGCAUAAAAAAUAAUUUAUUCGAAAUCAUAAAGUAACAAAAGUGCAAUCACAAGCAAACACAAGUAAAAGUUGGCGCCUAUACACCAACUAGUGCAUAAGAAAAGGAACCCAUCACGAUGUUCCAUACCAGCGGAGAGUACACCCAAGAGAGCAUAAAAUAAAGAACCCAUCACAACGUUCCAUACCUCCAACGAGCACAUCCAAGAGACAUAAAAGAAUUAAAUCUCCAAUAUAUAUGUAUAGAGAGAGAAUUAUAUAUUACCCCCCUAAACUUGUUGAGUUUUAUUCAUGGUACACCUGAACUUUCACCAGUCCUAAGUAACCCCCCUCCCUCCCGAACUUGUUUUUUCAGUACGUCGUAAGGGUUUUUUUGCUGAUGUGGCAAAAUGUGUGGGUUUCACACUCCAUCACACACGUGAUGGAGUAUUUUUAAGCCAAAUCAUCCUUUUAAAUGGUUAAAAAAUGUUUUUCUUUUAUUUUUUCAACAAAAUUCAAUUAUCCCUCUCACUAUUUAUUAUACCGAAAAAAAAUGUCUUUCUUUAAUUUUUUCAACAAAAUUCAAUUAUCCCUCUCACUAUUUAUUAUACCUCUUCAACCAUUACUUCCAAUCUAAAAAAAAAAUUCAUCCAUUUAUUAAUUUUGCAAAACUCAUGUUUAUCUCUUAAUUAGUUUAUGAAAUAAAACUUUCAUCCGUUUAUUAGUUUUGUAAAUUUUUCAUUUAUUAAUCUAAAAAAAAAAACUCAUCCGUUUAUUAAUUCAAUCUAAAACUCCAGUUUUCAUUUUUAUGAAACUCCUUCAAUUUUGUAAUCUUAAUUAUAUAUAUCAUACGAGAUAUUAUAACUAAAAAAAUACUAAAUAUCGAAGCAGAUAUUUUAAAAGAUAAUGCAAAACAAAUACAAAAGAAACUAAGAUACAUACUUAUAAUAAAGAGAAUGUACUUAUAUUGAUUAUCGAUUUGUGAUCUUCCGCUUCAGUCUGCGUUUUUCGGAUAGCCGGGACCCGAUGUCGAUUUUCGAUUUAAAUGUCAGCUCCAGGUUUGGGGCGGCCCAUCUGGUGGCCAUCCGCCCAGGAGAGAAGCAAACUACCCUUUUUUUAUCCCCCUUCCCGGGCAGGGAAGAGAACGAAAAUGGACCGCAGAUGGUAGUCGUGGUUGAUUUUGAUUCGAGGAUCUUACGCGGCGGAGCGAACUCUUCUAUCGUGUUGCAUCGGUUACCUUUCCUGAGGAUUGAGAUCGAGCUUAAGUUGCUCUUGCUAGACGUCCGAAUUCUUUCUGGUUAAAGAAUCCGUUUUCUUUUUAUAAGGGCUAAAAUCACUUAUUUUGGCUUUUUCAUCCCCGGUAGUUGGCAGAGGCGGGAAUAAGAAGAUCUUCUAUGGGACUUGGGGCCUUGAGGCCCAGGCUUCUUGUUGUUAUAGUGAGUUAGAAUUAUUGGUUUUUGACUGUCGCCUUCGGCUCUUGGUCUCGAGGGACACUUCAUUUCCGUAUAUGCAUUAUGUGUUUCACCCGACCGCGAUUUCCAGUUGAUUGCCUCAACCUAUUGAUUGAGUGAGUUGGAGAAGAAAGUCUUAGAAGGCUACGACUCUAUAAGUUUCGCGUCUUAUUUUUUUGCGUGUCUACUAUUUAUUUAGGUGCAAAGAGCCUAAGCGGUUCAAGCUAUUAUAUUCCGCGCCUGCUCUCCAUUUCCACCCAUGCAAUAGAAGCUAUUAAUGCCAUAUCUGGUGGUUCAGACAUUCCCGCUGCUACAAUUGGAGUUGACGGUCCUAGUUCUGUUAGAGUAAGAGCUCUUGCUGGAAUAACCAGUGCUAGUUACUUGACUGUUGGAGGAGAAAGCACUGUGUGAAAUGUUCACGUAGAAGCUCCUCUUUCAUCUGCAGGUAUAGACUUCUUUUGAUUCUCAUAUCUUUUCCUAUUUUCAGUUUAAGCUGCCGGAAUGACCGGGGGCGUUUGAUCUGGUUAUGCCUUUUGGACUCACCAAUACCCCUGCCACGUUCUGCUCCCUCCACAAUGAGCUAUUCCACCCGUACUUAGACGACUGGUAGUAUACUUUAAUCGUGGACUAUAGCUAUUCGUUAAACGACCACUUCCACCACCUUCGGACCGUUUUUAAGGUAUUAAAGAAAAAUCCCCUCUAUGUUAUGUAAAGACAAAUGCUCCUUUAAACAGACGGAGAUCCUCGGAAUAGGUACUAUCCUAGACCUCUGUCUAUCCCGACAUUGAUAGAAAUUCAUAGUUAGGUUAGCCAGAGUUUUGCAACUCCAAAUGAUGCCUUUUGAAAUCCCAACAAUAUUUUCUAUAUAAAAAGAAUCCGGAAACCCUGAUGGCUUUAAAGGAUAGGGGCUAGAAGCUUCGCCAGAAGCAAGCAAGAUGAGGUCGCUCUGCUUCGUAGACAAGGCUCGUUCCGUACUUUACUUACGAGCUCGUGUAGUACUCACCCCUAUCUCUAAAGGGGCUUAUGCACUCCACUCGCUGUCUACUAAACGAGCGUUAGAGCGAGCGAGCGAAGCCCUCAAUUUAGUGGCUUCCCUCAACCUCCUCUUUCAUUUCCGCUUAAGCUUCCGCGCUUUAUGGGAUUAAUUGAUUGGAUACCGCCCUAAUGGAAAUGAGAGGCCUUAUCUCUUCACUUGCUGCUUUCUUUGCUGCUUUCAG
rnacentral:lncRNA from 1 species